AUUGAACGCUGGCGGCAGGCUUAACACAUGCAAGUCGAGCGAGCGGCGGACGGGUGAGUAAUGUCUGGGAAACUGCCUGAUGGCGGGGGAUAACUACUGGAAACGGUAGCUAAUACCGCAUACCAUCAGAUGUGCCAAUAUGGGAUUAGCUAGUAGGUGGGGUAAUGGCUCACCUAGGCGACAAUCCCUAGCUGGUCUGAGAGGAUGACCAGCCACACUGGAACUGAGACACGGUCCAGACUCCUACGGGAGGCAGCAGUGGGGAAUAUUGCGCAAUGGGCGCAAGCCUGAUGCAGCCAUGCCGAGUGUGUGAAGAAGGCCUUCGGGUUGUAAAGCACUUUCAGCGAGGAGGCGUUACUCGCAGAAGAAGCACCGGCUAACUCCGUGCCAGCAGCCGCGGUAAUAC
rnacentral:rRNA from 1 species